CCAUGGUAGCUCCAACAUGUGCUUUAAAACUAACUAGACAUGCUAUUUGCAUAAUGUGUGUUUAAAACAUGUGACAUGGGAAAUGAGAGACCAUUGCAUGGGUCAAUUCCCCCAUUUUUCAGUCAUCCGUCUCUGUCCAUAUUGAAGACAACAAGCUAAUACAUGCAGCAUGCACCUGGAGGAGAAAUACUCGCAGUCGUGC
rnacentral:lncRNA from 1 species